CACGUGACUCGGCUCGGAGGACCCGGCACCAUGGAGACCGCCGACGGUUCUCCUAGAAGGGCCCCGCCCCCACCGGAAGGCGAGGCGGGGACGCCUCUCGGGGAGGCGCGGGCGUCCCUUAGAGGCCUACACUCUCUCCGCGGAAGGCGGGCGUCUCUAUGUUUUGUUGAGGACCAGUGAAAACAUCACCUCAAGGCAUCAGUUCUUGGACCAGCACCUGAGAACCAUCUUGUAUUUUCCCAAACCUUAGUCUGGCCAUAUGUCAAGUAGCUAUCCUCUAGACUGAAUCUAGCAUUAGACUCACAAUGUUUUAAGAGGAUUUGCUGGGAUGAUAGGUAUGUAUGUAUGUACUCUGGAGUCCCAGAGCCGUGAGUUGGUGAGAGAAGAGGACAGGGGCCCUAGCCUGUGCAUGGGCAGAGGGUUCUACAGGUCCCAGGCUGGCAGGGGCAGAGGUGGGUGACAGUGGGAUUCAUGCUUCUUUUUUUCUUAGCAGACUAGGCCCCCAUCAGCCAGCUUGGUUUGGGGCUCAUAUUCUUAGGGGCUAUCUGAAAAAGCAGGGAAGACAAUAACAUUUAAGUCACAAUCAGGACAUUAAUAUACAGGCACAAGUUUGAUUUCAGGGGCAAUGGAAGCCCCACCACCAAAUAGCUCUCUGUCUUCUUGCCUGUACCUGAAAUUCCUUUAAGUGAAAUUGCUUGACUUGCAAAUACUCUAGAACCUAAGACAAAUUUUUUCAUGACCACUAACAGAGUGCUUACUAUUUGUUAGUCGCUGUCUUAAAUAUCUUGCCCAGAUUUACUAAUUUAGUCCUCACAGAGUCCCAGGGGAUGGUUGAGGUAUCAUUAUUCUCAUUUUACAGAGCAAACUAACAUAAAAACACCAUGUUAUUUGCCAGGGUCCCUGGUAGUAAGUAGUGAAACCAGACUUUGAAUUCCAUAGGCCAUGCUUUUAGCCAUCCUGCUAGACUGCUUCCAUGUUCAAGUGGAAGUGGUACCACCACACCGUUUCCUACUGUGCUGAAGGGGAGGCCAGUGGGGAGCCAGAAGGCACUAGGUACAAGCACUUGUGUGGGAAAGGAUGCCAGGAAUGGAGACCGGACACCACAAAGGGAAAGCUGGAAGAAAUCACAGCAGCUCAGGCACAUCACUGUGGCUUUCCUAGGGUGAUGGAGUUUUGCCUGGGAGCGGUUCUGUGCCCACACAUCAUGCCACCCUGUGUCUCCAGCACAAAUAUGAGGCCUGGGACUGACAGGCCCAUCCUGAUAAGGAUCCUUCGUAUGUGGGGAGUGACAAACAACAGUACUGCUGAAAUCAGGAAAAGCAGAGCUCCUACUCCUGCCUGCAACCCACUCGCCAUUGGCACAAAAAUAUAUUAUGACAACAAAAGGCAUGCUAUAUUGUGUCAUAUCCUUGGAAAGUCCAGUGGGUGUCACUAAAUGGUCAUGACUUUGGCAUUAACAAUGUUUUGUAGCAUGAAUGGCCUCUGCCAAAGACCCAACCCCAGCAGCAAAGACUAUUCUCACUCUGAGCAUCCCUCAACCAUCUCCCAAACUUUGGGCUGGAUCCAUCUAAGUGGGGGAGCUUUGAAGCUCUCUGUACUGGAUGAUGAUUGGAAUUACAGUAGCAGAUGGAUUGGCUUUCUUUUAUUAUUUUUUUUUUAAAGAUUGGCCUUAAAUUGACUUUGAUAUAAAGGGUCUGUUGACAUGCUGCCAUUUCCCACUUAGAACCUUGUCCCUUUUGCUGUUUCUGUAUAUUUAUCCUGCACAUCUUGUGGACUGUUGCUCAUCCAUUCAUAGUUACCUUGCUGUCCCACUGUCUCAUGGUCUCUUGGCAGCCCCUAAGCUGAGGCUCUUGGCUUUAUGGGGGGAAGGGGUAUCACUACCCAUGUUCUGCCGGCAGCUAGCUAGACUGUAGCCCUCCUCCAUCAUACCCCACCCCUCCCAGGCUUCUGUCAUCUUCUACAUCCCUGAUGCCCAAGCCACCCAUUGGCCCUACCCCACUGGAUGAUGUGGACCAAGGGCCUCCGACCUGAAGCACCCAGGGGCACUGCAGGGUCGGGGGAGGGGUGCUGUGGCUGGCAAGGAUGCUCCCCUACUGUGUCUACAUGUGCACAGGCAUGGCUGGCAGAGUGCUCUCUGGAACUGGGGCAAGGGUGGGUGUCUGUAGGCACUUGACCUGUGUGCUGUUGCCUUGGAAAACAGGAGUCCUUAGCAAUGGGUCCUGCCCAAAGUCUAGAAAACAAGUCAAUAAGUAAUUUUACAUCUUCUUCAAAUGAUGAAAGAAACUGACUAUAGGGCAGCCUGGGUAGCUCAGCGGUUUAGCACCGCCUUCAGCCUGGGGCAUGAUCCUGGAGUCCUGGGAUCGAGUCCCACAUCGGCCUCCCUACAUGGAGCCUGCUUCUCCCUCUGCCUGUGUC
ensembl:lncRNA